GACGUAGGGGCCGAGCGUUGUCCGGAGUUACUGGGCGUAAAGCGCGCGCAGGCGGUCCGCCACAUCGUCGGUGAAAGCCCCCCGCUCACCGGGGGAGGGUCCGGCGAGAUGGGCGGACUGGAGGCAGGGAGAGGCCAGUGGAAUUCCGGGUGUAGUGGUGAAAUGCGUAGAGAUCCGGAGGAACACCGGUGGCGAAGGCGGCUGGCUGGGCCUGUCCUGACGCUGAGGCGCGAAGGCGUGGGGAGCGAACGGG
rnacentral:rRNA from 1 species